rnacentral:rRNA from 1 species
CUGAAACCGUGCGCCUACAAGCGGUCGGAGCUCUGCAAAGAGUGACGGCGUGCCUUUUGCAUAAUGAACCUACGAGUUACCGUGUCCGGCAAGGUUAAGGGACAGGAGUUCCGGAACCGAAGCGAAAGCGAGUCUGAACAGGGCGAGUUUCCCCUCAGGGGAA